rnacentral:lncRNA from 1 species
GGGGCGGUGCCGGGACCAAGCGUUCCGUCGCCUUGGUGGUCGCCCGGUUGCAGACCUCUGUCUGCUUCCAGGGCUGUGGGGCUCCAGAGGCUCAUCCCUGGAGGGCGGGAAGUCCUGGAGCAGUGCGGGCGUGACCGCGGGCUUUGCCCACAGAAACGCUUUCCAAGGGCUCCGGACGCAGACUAGGGGGCGUCUGGAGCCUGGUGUGGUGUCUCGUGCAGCCCGUCCCGUGGGAAUGGAUGCAACUUCGGGCGCAGGCGACUGGUGGGAAGUUGGAAUCGUGGAUUCGUGAGCACGCACUACGGGCGGCUAGGCUCCCAUUGCAUUAAGUCCUUCAGACGGAUGGUGUUGUGGACUGACAUCUGGGAUUCUCUUGGGUUGACACCAUUUGAGAAGAAUAAGUCACCAGCAGGAACUACCUAAGGGAACAUUUUUGAUAAAAUCUGUACAUGCUUCUCCUGGUGUGUUUGGUUACCAGGAACAGAAGGC